rnacentral:rRNA from 1 species
CCCUUAGAUGUCCUGGGCUGCACGCGCGCUACACUGAUGUGUCCAGUAAGCACCUAACCUCUUCCGAAAGGAACGGGUAACCUUUUCAAAGCACAUCGUGAUGGGGAUAGAUUAUUGCAAUUAUUAGUCUUGAACGAGGAAUUCCUAGUAAGCACAAGUCAUCAGCUUGUGUUGAUUACGUCCCUGCCCUUUGUACACACCGCCCGUCGCUCCUACCGAUUGAAUGUUCCGGUGAGCUCUUCGGACUGCGCGGUCUGCAGUUUCUGCGUUCCGUGCGGAAAGUUGCGCAAACCUUAACAUUUAGAGGAAGGAGAAGUCGUAACA